UGCAGUCGAGCGAACUGAUUAGAAGCUUGCUUCUAUGACGUUAGCGGCGGACGGGUGAGUAACACGUGGGCAACCUGCCUGUAAGACUGGGAUAACUUCGGGAAACCGAAGCUAAUACCGGAUAGGAUCUUCUCCUUCAUGGGACAUGAUUGAAAGAUGGUUUCGGCUAUCACUUACAGAUGGGCCCGCGGCGCAUUAGCUAGUUGGUGAGGUAACGGCUCACCAAGGCAACGAUGCAUAGCCGACCUGAGAGGGUGAUCGGCCACACUGGGACUGAGACACGGCCCAGACUCCUACGGGAGGCAGCAGUAGGGAAUCUUCCGCAAUGGACGAAAGUCUGACGGAGCAACGCCGCGUGAGUGAUGAAGGCUUUCGGGUCGUAAAACUCUGUUGUUAGGGAAGAACAAGUACUAGAGUAACUGCUUGUACCUUGACGGGACCUAACCAAAAAGCCACCGGUAACUACGUGCCAACAACCGCGGUAAUACCUAAGUGGCAAGCGUUAUCCGGAAUUAUUGGGCGUAAAGCGCGCGCAGGGGGUUUCUUAAGUCUGAUGUGAAAGCCCACGGCUCAACCGUGGAAGGUCAUUGGAAACUGGGGAACUUGAGUGCAGAAGAGAAAAAGCGGAAUUCCACGUGGUAACGGUGAAAUGCGUAAAGAUGUGGAGGAACACCAGUGGGCGAAAGCCGGAUUUUUGGUCUGGAACUGACGCUGAGGGGCGAAAGCGUGGGGGAGCAAACAGGAUUAGAUACCCCUGGUAGUCCACGCCGUAAACGAUGAAUGCUAAGGGUUAAAAGGGUUUCCGCCCUUUAGUGCUGCAGCUAACGCAUUAAGCACUCCGCCUGGGGGAGUAC
rnacentral:rRNA from 1 species